UGGCCUUGACAUGUAGUGGCCCGGGUGCGAAAUCACCCUUUUCUUCGGAACUGCUACACAGGUGCUGCAUGGCUGUCGUCAGCUCGUGUCGUGAGAUGUUGGGUUAAGUCCCGCAACGAGCGCAACCCCCGUGUUCUGUUGCCACCCGGAUGUAAAUCCGGAGCACUCUGGACAGACUGCCUGGUUUCAACUAGGAGGAAGGUGGGGAUGACGUCAAGUCAGUAUGGCCCUUACGGCCAGGGCUGCACACGUACUACAAUGCCUGAUAUAAUGGGAAGCAAGACCGCGAGGUGGAGCAAAUCCUCAAAAUCAGGCCCAGUUCAGAUUGUAGGCUGCAACUCGCCUACAUGAAGGAGGAAUCGCUAGUAAUGCCGUAUCAGCUACGACGGCGUGAAUACGUUCCCAGGCCU
rnacentral:rRNA from 1 species